rnacentral:misc_RNA from 1 species
ACUGUAUAGAGUAGUAUAUAUAAAGAGAGAGACGCACAUCGCACUUGGAUAGAUACCCAUAACACACGCACACAGAGAUAGGGUUUCAAAUCUAAUCCUCAAACCAAAGUCUUUCAUUUGUUUGCUACAUAGCUUCCUCAGCUUCUUCCCAUGGCGUCCAAUUCCAACAAGGAUGUUCCCUCUGGUAUAUGCUUAUUUUUCUUGCUCAAUUACCAGUAUUUCUCGUCAAAUCUGUGAUCUUUCUUGCAUUUUCUGUUUGGGUUUUACUUAAUUUGUUAGCUACCUAUUAAUCUAAUCCCUUUUCAAGGAUUGUUUUAAGAAUCUAUGGAUUUUUUUUUGGUAUAUAAUCGUAGAAAGAGUUCAUUUCACUUCUCGAGUUCCAGGCCCAUUACUUAAUUAAUGUUAUCUUCAUCUUCUUUAAUCUUUUUUGCUUAUUUUUAGCUGGACUGGUUGAGUAUAGAACAUUAUCAAAUAAGAAAUUCAUUCCAUUCCAUUAUGGUUUACUGUACAUGCUUUUGGAUCUUACAGAAAACACUUUAUUCUAUUCAUUAGCUUGCUAUGGAUGUCUCCUGCUGCAUAUCAUAGUCAGCCUAUUGAAGUCUUGUGCUGUGACUUUAUUUGGGAAUCAGUGAUCUGCUUUAUUAAUUUUUCUUACAUAUCCUUUACCUUUUCCUAGACGAGAAAACAGGUUCUUCAGAAGGCAAAAUCCCAAAAUCAGAAAUGUCUUCUGGGGAGUCACAGUCAGGACAAGGAAGAUCUUCCCCUUCUCCAGGACCUGGAUUGGCUCCCAAUGUUUUUGAUUUCUCAGCCAUGAGUGGCCUGCUUAAUGACCCAAGCAUCAAGGAAUUGGCUGAGCAGAUAGCAAAAGAUCCUUCAUUUAACCAGAUGGCAGAUCAGCUCCAUAAAACUCUUCAAGGUGUAGGAGCAGAAGAUGAGAUCCCUCAGUUUGAUUCACAACAAUACUAUUCCACCAUGCAACAGGUUAUGCAGAAUCCUCAAUUUAUGGCUAUGGCUGAACGCCUCGGCAGUGCAUUGAUGCAGGAUCCAUCUAUGUCUCAAAUGCUUGAGAGUUUGGCAAAUCCAGCACAAAAAGAUCAGAUUGAGGAACGAAUGGCACGAAUUAAAGAUGAUCCUUCUUUAAAACCUAUAUUAGAAGAGAUAGAGUCCGGUGGUCCGGCGGCCAUGAUGAGGUAUUGGAAUGACAAGGAAGUUCUACAAAAGUUGGGUGAAGCAAUGGGUCUCGCAGUUUCUGGAGAAGCAACCACUUCCGUAGAAAAUCCUGGGCUAGAUGAAGAGGAAGAAGCAGGAAAUGAGGAUGAGUCGAUAGUUCACCAUUGUGCUAGUGUUGGUGAUGUUGAGGGUUUGAAAAAUGCAAUGGCUUCUGGCGCUAACAAGGAUGAAGAGGAUUCUGAGGGAAGAACAGCACUGCAUUUUGCUUGUGGAUAUGGAGAGGUAAAGUGUGCUCAAAUCCUUCUUGAGGCAGGAGCAACUGUUGAUGCACUGGAUAAAAAUAAGAACACUGCACUUCAUUAUGCUGCUGGUUAUGGAAGGAAGGAGUGUGUAGCCCUUCUGCUAGAGAAUGGUGCUGCUGUCACCCUUCAGAACAUGGAUGGCAAGACUCCCAUUGAUGUUGCCAAGCUAAACAACCAGCAUGAUGUACUAAAGUUGCUUGAGAAGGAUGCCUUCCUGUAGCUAGGAGUAUGAGUGGCAUGUGCCUGUUGUAGGGACUCAAGUGUGAUAGGCGAAUUUGUUCUCUAUGCUGUCUUUGCGGCUGUCAGUUGCUACAUCUUACGAUUUUAUAGUCAGUACCAUAAAAAAUUUUUUCUCCUUCUCUUUUUUUUUUUUUUAAAUGUAGCGACCUUAAUUCUCAUUAUAUAUAUUCACACAUGAACAAUUCUGUGACUAGUCGAGUUAAACAAAUAUUCCUUAUGCAUACGACAUCAAUUUAAAUCAAGCAAAUUUAACACAUUUCAUCUAUUAAUUCAAGCCUCAUACUUUGUGAUAAAAAGUACAAUCAAAAUCAACCAUCCAUUCCAUGAAAAAUGGAGAAUAAAUCUGAUCACAUCAAAUUUAUUGCAUGAUCUAGCAUAUCUCAUCAAUUCAAGACAAGAAAAAUUGGGUAACUUCAAGCUAGACGUUAACGAUUUAAUUAGAUGAAGGUUAUGGUCAAAGACAAGCAUUCAUGAUAAACUCUUCCAAAAAGAACUAAAAGUUAUCAAAAAGGUAGCACCAAAAGAGUAGGAAAAAAAAUAGCAUCCCAAAAACCUUAUCAAAAUCCAACAUCAAAAUCCAAAUAUUUACACCAAUCCCAUGAAAAAUAAAUCUUUUUUUUUUUAAUUUUUUUUAUGUAUAUCCAAACCUCCCCCACACUUAAUUUCCGCAUUGUCCCUAAUGUGAAAAAGAAUUAAUGCACAAAAAAAAAAAAGAAAAGAAAAGAGAUAAAAUAGUUUCUUGGCCUCCUUGUCUUUCUUUCUUUCUUUCUUUCUU